GACGAACGCUGGCGGCGUGCUUAACACAUGCAAGUCGAACGGAAAGGCUCCAGCUUGCUGGAGUACUCGAGUGGCGAACGGGUGAGUAACACGUGGGUGAUCUGCCCUGCACUUCGGGAUAAGCCUGGGAAACUGGGUCUAAUGCCGGAUAGGACCGCACUUUGGUGUGUGUGGUGGAAAGGUUUUUCUGGUGUGGGAUGAGCUCGCGGCCUAUCAGUUUGUUGGUGGGGUAAUGGCCUACCAAGACGGCGACGGGUAGCCGGCCUGAGAGGGUGGACGGUCACAUUGGGACUGAGAUACGGCCCAGACUCCUACGGGAGGCAGCAGUGGGGAAUAUUGCACAAUGGGGGAAACCCUGAUGCAGCGACGCCGCGUGGGGGAUGAAGGCCUUCGGGUUGUAAACUCCUUUCGCUAGGGACGAAGCUUUUUGUGACGGUACCUGGAGAAGAAGCACCGGCUAACUACGUG
rnacentral:rRNA from 1 species